rnacentral:misc_RNA from 1 species
GUCAAAAGGUCAAUUCCCUGUUACGGGCUGCUGACAACUGGCUUAGGCAAAAGCAAGUAAAUCAUCCUGAUUUUGCGUUCUUUAUCUCGCACAACUCAAACUGGAGAUGACUGGGGAGUUAUAUGAGUGAGCUAUAAACCUGAAAUGAAGGGAUGCAUAUUGGGUCCUUCAAUCCUGAAAGAGAAACCUUAUUUCUUAAUGUUCCCCUAUGUUUUAUAACUAUAUGGAGCAGUGUAUGAUCAGGAUUCCCAGCCUAAAGUCAAAGUUGGCUACGAAACCUUGUCCCUUUACUGAACAGUCCAGGAAUGAA